rnacentral:misc_RNA from 1 species
GUUUCUUUCUGAAAUGUGAUCCAAUUGGACGUGCCUUGCUUAUCUAGAUUCAUGAAGCCUCUCAAUUGUAAAUGUAUUAACUCCUCAAAUAUCCUCUUACCUGUUAAAUCUGAAGAUUUAAUUUACUGCAUUUUCAUGCCUUUUCUCUUGCAAAUGAAACAAAUCUUCAACUCUGUUUCUUUUCUUGAUCAAAGGUUGUGAGGCUCCUCCAAGGGGAU